UGGUCUUUCAGGGCAUUUUAGAAACAUCAGGGUGGGGUAAGCCACGUCUGGAGGGGACACCGCCCUUUUGUUGCAUUCUUCUGAAGCUGAAGUUUUGCAAUCAUGUUGAGUAGCUAGUUAGUUGGGGAUCUACAUUAUAACCUUACAAAAAUCUGUUUUUGAAGCUUCUGUCUGAAGGGAGAAACUUUGAGGCAACUGUUAAACUUCUGAGGUCUCAGACCCAACCACUUGUUGGCUGGGCCAGGACAGAAGACCUGAGAGAUCCAGGUAGCCAAUUCACAAAAAGUGAACAAAUGCCUGCUGGCUGCUGCUG